rnacentral:rRNA from 1 species
GAACUUAGCAGAGAUGCUUUGGUGCCUUCGGGAACUCUGAGACAGGUGCUGCAUGGCUGUCGUCAGCUCGUGUUGUGAAAUGUUGGGUUAAGUCCCGCAACGAGCGCAACCCUUAUCCUUUGUUGCCAGCGGCUCGGCCGGGAACUCAAAGGAGACUGCCGGUGAUAAACCGGAGGAAGGUGGGGAUGACGUCAAGUCAUCAUGGCCCUUACGGCCAGGGCUACACACGUGCUACAAUGGCGCAUACAAAGAGAAGCGACCUCGCGAGAGCAAGCGGACCUCACAAAGUGCGUCGUAGUCCGGAUUGGAGUCUGCAACUCGACUCCAUGAAGUCGGAAUCGCUAGUAAUCGUAGAUCAGAAUGCUACGGUGAAUACGUUCCCGGGCCUUGUACACACCGCCCGUCACACCAUGGGAGUGGGUUGCAAAAGAAGUAGGUAGCUUAACCUUCGGGAGGGCGCUUACCACUUUGUGAUUCAUGACUGGGGUGAAGUCGUAACAAGGUAAGCGUAGCGAG